rnacentral:rRNA from 1 species
CCCUUAGAUGUUCUGGGCCGCACGCGCGCUACACUGACGACUUCAACGAGUUUUUUUCAUUUGAAAAAGUCCUUGGCCGGAAGGUCUGGGUAAUCUUUUAAAAGGUCGUCGUGAUGGGGCUAGAUUCUUGCAAUUAUUAAUCUCCAACGAGGAAUUCCUAGUAAACGCAAGUCAUCAACUUGCAUUGAUUACGUCCCUGCCCUUUGUACACACCGCCCGUCGCUCCUACCGAUUGAGUGGUCCGGUGAGGCUUUGGGAUCUGAGCGGAAAGAGCGUUUCGCUGUUUCUGCUCGGAAAACUCAGUCGAACCUUAUCAUUUAGAGGAAGGAGAAGUCGUAACA